AUGCCGCGUGUGUGAAGAACGCUUCGGGUUGUAAAGCACUUUUGUCAGGAACGAAACGGUGGGGGCUAAUAUCCUCUGCUAAUGACGGUACCUGAAGAAUAAGCACCGGCUAACUACGUGCCAGCAGCCGCGGUAAUACGUAGGGUGCGAGCGUUAAUCGGAAUUACUGGGCGUAAAGCGUGCGCAGGCGGUUGUGCAAGACAGAUGUGAAAUCCCCGGGCUUAACCUGGGAAUUGCAUUUGUGACUGCACGGCUAGAGUGUGUCAGAGGGGGGUAGAAUUCCACGUGUAGCAGUGAAAUGCGUAGAUAUGUGGAGGAAUACCGAUGGCGAAGGCAGCCCCCUGGGAUAACACUGACGCUCAUGCACGAAAGCGUGGGGAGCAAACAGGAUUAGAUACCCUGGUAGUCCACGCCCUAAACGAUGUCAACUAGUUGUCGGGUCUUAAUUGACUUGGUAACGCAGCUAACGCGUGAAGUUGACCGCCUGGGGAGUACGGUCGCAAGAUUAAACUCCAAGGAAUUGACGGGGACCCGCACAAACGGUGGAUGAUGUGGAUUAAU
rnacentral:rRNA from 1 species